UUUCACUCAGUCUAUUAAAUCUAAUAAGGGAGGGUGAUUUCUCUAAAAAAUGGGCAGGUGGUGACCUUUAAGAAAGUUUAGACAUGUUUCACUAGUUUCAGUGAAACAGAAAUAUUAUAACACAAUAAAUCUCUUUUGCCCUUUUCAAAAUUCCUUGUUUCUUGCAUAUUAUUAAAAAACGCCAGGGCUUUAAACCAAGGGUGCUGGCGAGCUUCGUGCUUUGGGGAUUCACGUAUUUGCCCCGUACCUGGGAGGGGGGCUGUGAGUGGGGCACUCAGGUGUGCAGAACAUUGACCUAAAAAUGGAGCUUCUUACAACCAGCGGAAGGGGAGACACACACAAAAAUUUAGCGCAUUUUCUUAAGUGUUUAAGUAGAAACUGUCACUCUAAGAAGUUGGCCUGGGGCGGAGCGCUUGGGUCCGGCUCCUGGGCUGCCUGGAUGGCACAGGGCGCGCUGGACCGUCGGUCUCCCCUCCCACGGCCGCCCUGUCCUGCGGGACACCCACCUCCAGCGGCACCGGCCCCCCCCAUCCAAGAAUCUGAGCUGCCUGUGGCGGCCGCACGGAGGGGCCGUGUCCUGCGUAACCGCUCUCUCCUGUCUUCCCCCGUCCUACUUUUCUUUUCUUGGGUCACACAGAACAUCAAAUCGGAAGACCGUCGUGUAGG